AGGGCGCAUGGCGGAUGCCUUGGCUCUCGGAGGCGAUGAAGGACGUGAUAAGCUGCGAUAAGCCGCGGGUAGGUGCAAAUGACCUUUGAUCCGCGGAUUUCCGAAUGGGACAACCCAAUAUCUUGAAGAGGUAUUAUCCUACUAAGUAGGAGGCAAACGCAGGGAACUGAAACAUCUUAGUACCUGUAGGAAGAGAAAAUAAAUAAUGAUUCCCCUAGUAGUGGCGAGCGAACGGGGAACAGCCCAAACCAUAUGUGUUACGGCAUGUAUGGGGUUGUAGGACCACGUCGUGGGACGACAGUUAGUGAGUAGAAUGAUCUGGAAAGUUCAGUCAUAGACGGUGAUAACCCGGUAUACGAAGCUAACUUAACCCUAGUGGUAUCCUGAGUAGCGCGGGACACGAGGAAUCUUGCGUGAAUCUGCCGGGACCAUCCGGUAAGGCUAAAUACUCCCGAGAGACCGAUAGCGAACCAGUACUGUGAAGGAAAGGUGAAAAGCACUUCGAACAGAAGAGUGAAAUAGUCCCUGAAACCAUGCGCCUACAAGCGGUCGGAGCAGUGUAAACUGUGACGGCGUGCCUUUUGCAUAAUGAACCUACGAGUUACUUUUUCCGGCAAGGUUAAGGGUCUUGAGACCUGCAGCCGAAGCGAAAGCGAGUCUGAACAGGGCGGAUAGUCGGAAGGAGUAGACGCGAAACCAAGUGAUCUACCCUUGGCCAGGUUGAAGGACAGGUAACACUGUCUGGAGGACCGAACCGAUAAGCGUUGAAAAGCUUCCGGAUGAGCUGAGGGUGGGGGUGAAAGGCUAAUCAAACUUGGAGAUAGCUCGUACUCCCCGAAAUGCAUUUAGGUGCAGCCUUGAUUUAUACUAAUAUGAGGUAGAGCGACUGAUAAGAUGCGAGGGCUUCGCCGCCUAUCAAGUCUUGACAAACUCCGAAUGCGUAUUAGUUCUAUAUCAGGAGUGAGGGCAUGGGUGCUAAGGUCCAUGUCCUAAAGGAGAACAAUCCGGACCAUCAGCUAAGGUCCCGAAAUAACCACUAAGUUGAUCUAACGAAGUCAGAUUGCUAAGACAGCUAGGAUGUUGGCUUGGAAGCAGCCAUUCAUUUAAAGAGUGCGUAACAGCUCACUAGUCGAGGAGUUUGGCGUGGAUAAUAAUCGGGCAUAAGUGGUUUACCGAAGCUAUGGGAUGUUUAAUACAUCGGUAGGGGAGCAUUCCACUCCGCGUCGAAGGUGAAGCGUGAGCUUUGCUGGAGCGUGUGGAAAAGCAAAUGUAGGUAUAAGUAACGAUAAAGGGGGUGAGAAACCCCCUCGCCGAAAGACUAAGGUUUCCUGAUCAACGCUAAUCGGAUCAGGGUUAGUCGGGUCCUAAGGCUCAGCCGAACGGUGAGGCCGAUGGCAGAACAGGUUAAUAUUCCUGUACUACCUUAAAGAGUGACGUGGAGACGGAGGCGUGACAGUGCCGCGGACUGACGGAAUAGUCCGUUGAAGGGUGUAGAUGUUGAUCGGGGUAGGCAAAUCCGCUCCGAGAGUCGAACCUGAUAGUAUGGAGCGUUCUUCGGAACAAUCCAAUAGUGCAUGUAAACAUACUCCCAAGAAAAUCCGCUAAACUUAAUCUUUAAGGUACCCGUACCGCAAACGGACACACGUAGUCGGGUUGAAUAUACUAAGGCGCUUGAGUGAUUCACGGUUAAGGAACUAGGCAAAUUGACCCUGUAACUUCGGGAUAAAGGGUCCCCACUGUAAGGUGGGGCGCAGAGAAUCGGUCCAGGCAACUGUUUAACAAAAACACAGGGCUGUGCAAAAUUGAAAGAUGAAGUAUACAGCCUGACACCUGCCCGGUGCUGGAAGGUUAAGAGGAGAUGUCAUCGCAAGAGAAGCAUUGAAUUGAAGCCCCAGUAAACGGCGGCCGUAACUAUAACGGUCCUAAGGUAGCGAAAUUCCUUGUCGGGUAAGUUCCGACCUGCACGAAUGGUGUAAUGAUCUGGACACUGUCUCAACCGUGAGCUCAGUGAAAUUGUAGUAUCGGUGAAGAUGCCGAUUACCCGCGAUGGGACGAAAAGACCCCGUGAACCUUUACUAUAGCUUAACAUUGAAUUUGGGUAAUUGAUGUGUAGGAUAGGCCGGAGGCUUUGAAGC
rnacentral:rRNA from 1 species